AUUACCAAGGAGCUCAAUGCUUAUAGGGUCAAGUGAAUUCUGAACAAAUAUUUUAGUAUGGUAAUUUUUCAACUGUUUUUAUUUGUAGAAAUUUUAUUGAAUAUUAUGUUUUUUUGUGUCUUCUUUGAUUAAUUAUUGUGAUUAUUUUCUGUAUGAAUAAUUUUUUAGGCUCAUUAAGUGACAAACCUUUAAAUUUGUCAAGAGUGAUGUCUAAAAAUAUUCCUCAGCCAUCAAAUCCUUUGAAAUCCUUUAAUUGGUGUAAACUACCAGAAUGCAUUGGUUCAGUUAUAGAAGAUAUACCAGCAGUGGUGACUAAAGCCAAAUCAAGAGAACUCUCUGUCAUUGAUGCUUUUGAAGUUUAUGCCUAGUCAUGAGGAAAAAGUCCUUUUAGAAGAACAUAGCAUAGAAAUUGAUAAUAUGGCUAGAUCUGAUAGAUUUUUUAUUUGAAAUAAGUAAGUAUGCCUUAU